CCUACGGGAGGCAGCAGUGAGGAAUAUUGGUCAAUGGACGGAAGUCUGAACCAGCCAUGCCGCGUGCAUGAAGACGGCUCUAUGAGCUGUAAACUGCGUUUGUACAAGGGUAAACCUGCAUACGUGUAUUCAUCUGAAAGUACUGUACGAAUAAGGAUCGGCUAAGUCCGUGACAGCAGCCGCGGUAAUACGGAGGAUCCAAGCGUUAUCCGGAUUGAUUGGGUUUAAAGGUUGCGUAGGCGGAUUGAUAAGUUAGAGGUGAAAUGUCCGAGCUUAACUCGGGAACUGCCUCUGAUACUGUUGAGCUGGAGAGUAGAUGAGGAAGGCGGAAUGUAAGGUGUAGCGGUGAAAUGCUUAGAGA
rnacentral:rRNA from 1 species